rnacentral:lncRNA from 1 species
AGCUCUUCUUUGUCUUGUUCACCUUCCACUUGUCUGCAUAGGCAGGAUUUGGCACCACUGGCAGUGACACUGUAACAUUUUGGGGGCUCAUCUGGGAUCUCCAAAAGGCACGACACAUCAAAGCAUACCGUGGCGUGGCUAGGACCCAACCCAGUACCAGAAAUGAAGAAAAUGACCCUACAGGACCAACAGCCCUGGAUGAUGCAGCUUCCUCGGAUGACACACGCCUCAGAUAUUACCUAGGGGAUCCUGAAGAGGAUAACUCAGGAGGCCGAGCAAAUCCUGCUCUGGACACAGACACCAUUCACUCCAGAUAAUUUGUUGCUUACUAUGCUCUCUGUUGUACAUCACAA